CCUCGCUGUGGCACAUAAACAAACCACUCUCAUCGAUUAUGACUGAAAUUUGAAAUGUACGAUUUCAUCUCAAAAUAUGGUAACUGCAUGAUUUAACGUGAAGUCAAGACCCUCCCGAUGGUCAGCGAGAGCCCAAACGAAGUGGUGGAAUUCUCUCAGCGCUCGGUUUUUUUACGGUCAACAACAGAGACGACUCCUUAGUGUCCCCACCAAAGUCACAGAGUUUUCCUGCCUGGUUGCCCUGAGAGACAGAGACGCAUCGACCUCUGCUAUUGAUGAGCGGCAGGAUUCCACGGUCAAAGAAGCAGUCCGGACAUCUGGCACAGCAGGACUGUACAAAGCCUCUCGCAACACACCUUUUUAAGGAGGACAGGUCAGUACAUCAUGGCUCACCCUGUAACCUCCCGAGUGGUUUGGAUGCAGUCUUCACAUACCAAUAACCAGAGCUGAGAGACAGAACAAAGAAGUGCCGGAAAUGUUGCCUUUCUAUCACGGAGGAUAUUGUGUAACUCAUUUAAUGUCAUACAGAAAUCUUAUCACCUUUUUAAGCUCAUUCUAUCAUAUAUCUGCUGUAUGUAAAAUAUAUAAAAACAAUACGUACUAGUGAACUCAUACAUUGCAAGUAAAAGCAGUUCCGGCAGGUGCCCUCUGGGCAGCCGGAGGAGGACCUAUGGAAACAGUCCAUGGACACCUGUGCUUUCAACGGCUGCAGAGGCAACAAAGAACGGCUCCUACUGGACCGUGAAGAGUGGUUUUUGCACUCUGUGGUUCUAGCUAUAUGGGUCCACCGUGCCUCGUGGAUGAAUGAGCACGGCACAGUGCGAGGAAAAAUCUGUCGAUUAAUUGAUGAAGUUUGGUUGUAGAGUGGGGAGAAAGAGAUCAGAAAUAGAAAGCAAACAAGAGUCUGCAGCCCCUUUAUCAAUGGUCGGCAGCUACGUCACAAUUUGAAAUUCAGUAACUGAUUAACACUUAGUAAUCCCAGUAACAAUCCAUUACUUUGACAUUUUUGGGUUGGCUGGAAUGGCGUGAUGGACGGCUGAUGUGAAUUUCAUGCCUGUAUGUUUAGGGCGAGGUCGUCUUCAAAAGUUGAAUCCGGGAGAUCGUUCACCGGUUUUCCCAAGGCGCUUUGUGCGUGACGCCCCGACGUCGUCCUUUUGGCAUCCCGCUGAAUUUCCACGGGACGCAGAGCUGGUUGCAUACCGGCUUCAUAGAUGCACUUAGCUGAGAGAUAAUGCUUUCCAUUACGGCAUAAAACACCUAAUGGGCCUUCCUCUAUCCCAUGUUUUCGGACUCAUCCAAAAAAGGCUUCCUCUUUCUCUGUCUCAUUUCCAACUCAAAUUCAAUUGAUAUCACGUCAUGGACUAGUUUGUUGCCUCUUGUCUUUCACUCAAAACAGUCUUGAAGACACGCUGAGCACAAAGAUCAAUAAAUUCAUUUUGGCUGUGAGGCGAAAGGGGAAUGGGCUCUCGACUCUCUUUCCCUGCUGUCGGUGCUCCCUAACGUUUUGCAAAUGAUAAUACAGGAUGUUGUCAUACGUUGCAAUUAGCUCAAUUAUGCCUAGAAAAUG